GAUGAACGCUAGCGGAAGGCUUAAUACAUGCAAGUCGAGCGGUAGGUGGCUUCGGCCAUUGAGAGCGGCGCACGGGUGAGUAACGCGUACAUGACCUGCUUGUCAGAAGGGGAUAGCCCUGGGAAACUGGGAUUAAUACCCUAUGGUAUUGAUAUUAUGAAUGAUAUCAAUUAAAGUUGAGGCGCUGACAGAUGGAUGUGCGUCUGAUUAGCUAGUUGGUAGGGUAACGGCCUACCAAGGCGACGAUCAGUAGGGGGCGUGCGAGCGUGGUCCCCCAAACGGGUACUGAGACACGGACCCGACUCCUACGGGAGGCAGCAGUAAGGAAUAUUGGUCAAUGCCCGCAAGGGUGAACCAGCCAUUCCGCGUGGGGGAUGAAGGCCCUAUGGGUUGUAAACUUCUUUUAGAUGGGAAGAAAAUGCUAGAUGUAUCUGGUACUGACGGUACCAUCAGAAUAAGCACCGGCUAACUCCGUGCCAGCAGCCGCGGUAAGAC
rnacentral:rRNA from 1 species